AUUGGCAGGUGGAGAGCAAUGAGGAGAAUGGGAGGAGAUGGGAACCUCAGGAGGAUGGGGUCCAGCCACACGUAAGAGUUUGAAUUUAAUCUAAGUGCAGUAGGAAGCCAUAAUUCUGUCUGUUUUUACAUGCAUAAAUUUAGUAAUAUUAAAAUACAAAUUUAGUCUUGUAGAGAUACACCAGUGAAAGUAAAGAGACCGGUUGCCAAGUUGUUGCAGUAGUUGAGGAGACUCCUUGAAAUAGUAUAAGCUUCAGGUCCCAUAAAGGUGAAUCUGCCCGGCAAACAAGAUUUCAAUCAAGAGGCCAAUGUCACACAGAGCCCCUUCAGGGAAGAUGCACUAAGCAAGGAGUGUGUGCUACCUACCUGUGCCGGCAAGCCUGUCCCCACCACCUCUGGGUGGAGAAGACUGGUCAACAGCUUUGUCUCAGCUAGAGGAUUUCUCCACUUACCAGAACACUAAACACUUGCCCACCCCUGGCCAUGGUCUAACCCACAGCUCAGCUUAUUUCCCAGCUUUUCUGGAUCACUUUGCACUUGGUUCAUUUCGGAAAAUGAUCCAGUGAUGAAAGACAUGAAGUUCGCCUAUGGUUAUUGCUACCCUCUCUGCACAAAGAGAGCACUCACCCCACCAUACUCUGAAGAACAUACCUCUCAUGCUCAGGGACGUGAUUAUAAGGGUCUGAUUAACCCACCAGGGGCUCAUACGGUUUUCAGUCAAUGUAGCCAUCCCUGGGCACUAGUCUUUCAGCUAAUCCUAUCAAAGGUUGUAGGCUGGGGGUGGGAUGAGAUUACAAAUCCAAACAUAUUUACACAGAUGUCUUUUUUAGCCCCAUACACAGCCAGGAUUGCAUUUGCAUCUUGUAACAAAAUCAUAAUUAUCACGGGCCAACUUAGUUAGAAACCUAAGACCAGGAUGCUGAGAGAGAGAGAAUGAAAGACAAAGAAAAGGGAUGGAGAUUAAGUGGGGGGAAAAAAAAGCUCAUGAGGAAAGCCUUCCAGCAGCAAUCAGCUGAGAACAGCAGGUUUGUGUUCAGCCUAUGUGGUUAUUUUCUGAUUAGGCUGGGUUGUCUGCCUAAUCAGAUUUUCUGCUCCCCUGUUAUCCAUCUUAUUAGGUUCUUUCCACAUGUGCGGCUUAGGGUUCCCUAGCAGUCACAAGAUGAUUCAAAGUAACGACCAACAAAGGCACUUUCUGUGGGAUAGUAUUUAUUAGGUUUAUUCCGAGUCAGGCCUCUGUGACUUUGAAUAAGUAAGAGGAUAGAUUUUCUUUCUCUGGCAUUUAAGUCUCAUGAGGAGUCUAGUUUUCAUACAAAUCUAAUAACGGAAAUAGUUUCUUGAUUAAUCAAAAAAGCUCCUCUGGGUAGAACCUGAUCUAGUAGGAUUCCCUUAACAUAAAUAAAUAUUACUCAAGACCUGCCGUGCGCCAAGCUCCAGGCCAGGCUGUAGACAUGGCGCAUACAGAAUACACACAGUCUGUACCUAUUAGUGUUCAUAGUCUGGGAGACUAUGACUCAGAGGAGAAAAUGAUUUUCUUUCACUGAAAAGUGCACUGGCGGAAGGGAGACAGGAAGUAAUCUUUUGCAUUGUCCUUGCUCUGCCAGGGGCGAAAUGACACUAGGAAAAAUGUUUUUUUCCUAACAGCCACCGCUGGUAUGGUGAUUCCUGCCUGCCCAAUGCAAAAAUCAGAAUACCCUUGUGAGUGUUUAUGUGAAGAUCUUUUGAAGAUAAAUUAAAGUGACAAAAAGUCUUCAUGCAAUCAUUCUAUACUUUUAUACUUGACUAUUUGCCAUAGGAAUGAUGAGAACAAUCUGUAAGAAAUAGUGUUUUGAGGAAAAUGUAUUAAAGUCUAAGACAACUGCAUUACACAGUCGUACACAAAGUCAUCUUAUUUCAGACUCCAUGACAAGCGAAAUAUGGCUAUUUAGCAGAGAAGGCAUAUUCUGCCCUAUGGCUAAAAAGAAUUGAAGUCCAAAUCAAAUGUGAGAAGAUUCGACUUCUCUUUAAAUGCCAUCUACAGAUGGUUCCUAGCAUGCCUUCGGCUGUUUUACAGAGUCACACACUACACAAGCCCUUCUUAAAGACCACAAUAUGUUAAAGUGCUUAGAGACCCUUCUAAGAGGGACGGUAUACAAAUAUCCCUUACUUGCUACUAAAUUCAACUAUUACUGCAACAAAAUUUCUCAUGAUUGAAAAGAAAAAAAAUUCCUGUUUGCCUGUGGAGUUUUUUGGUUCAGAAUCUGUGCUUCAGGCAUAGAAAUUUGCCUUAGGUCCAGGAUUUAAGAUUGUGGAGUUCACGUCUGUUUAAAGUAGAAUGGGAAAGGGACAGGUGGAGAUGGCCGGAAGGUGAUCUGCUUUGGGAAUCAACCUUCCAGGAAUGGCAAGUUCAUGCAUAGCAAAUAUGAAUUCUGUAAGAGAAGGAGGGCAGCUCCUGGAGUCGGGUUCCUGUUCCAAUAUUUACACAGGCCAAGAGUCCAGAGCACUCUGCAAACUGCUGCAAAGCAGUCCCACCUUCCCGUUGUGUGGAAACUGCGAGUUAAAGCAGGGGCGCAAGAGGAGAUGAGUCCUAGAGGCACCAGCCUCUCACCACUCCUCUUCUUGCCUGCAUGACACACAGACUGGCUUCCAACAUGUGCUGUGUUAAUUCUCCUUAUCUCUAUUGCUGUCCCAGUCCCAAACUCUUCUGCCUCCUGCUCCAGGACCCUCAGGCUUUCCAGUUCAACAACACCCCCACUUCAGAUCUCUCCACCCUCUCUCUAGCUACUUCCUGUAUCUCCAUUCUGUUGCAGACAGCCUCCUGGGUUAUCAAACUUUCUUCCAUAUUUAUUUUCUCCUAAAAUCUGCCUUUCCCUUUAUCCUCCGUGACAGUAGGGAAUCUCUCCAGUGGUACCACUGUCUCCAUUUCUCCCAUCCUAUACCCCAUCACCAAGCCCUGAGCAGGGGUCAGUAAAUGCCUUACAGCUACUUUAAAACUGUCAGCCCAUUGCCUUUCCUCUUCAACUGCCUCCCUUGGUGGUCGCAUCAUCUAAUUAUGAGAUGCUCUCACCAGCUUCUCCUCUAAGCCCCCAGGAUCCCCCCCAUGCUCGGUGAUGCCAGUCUGGGAAUUAAAAAUGCCAAACUCAAACAGCCUAUCAGACACUUGAACUCCUAGGCAAAAUCUCCAAUGUGAUCAGCCCGUACUUGAACACCCUGGCUAUAGGAAACACUACAGCAGGAGUCACGCUUUCCAUUCUUAAACAACUGUAGCUAUGUGCAAAGUCUUUAAUAAGCUGAAAUCUAUAGUCCUCUAAUUAAUGUUACUGUUUUAGUCCUGCCUUUUGAAGCUCUAUAAAAGAAGUUCAAUUGCUUUUCUCAUAUGACAGCCCUUGGACCACUUAGAAACUUUUAUCUUAUUCCUGCUAAGACUUCUCUACUCUAGGCUAACCAACUCCAGGGCCUUGAAAUUUUCUGAAUAUAAGACAUUUUUGGGUUUCUUCCCCCAUGUAAUUUCUCUCCCCGUGAACAUUCUCCAGAUUAUGCAUGUGGCACACAGAACUGUACACGUUGCUUUAAGUGUGAUGUGAUUGGUGGAACUACCUCCUCCCAUCCAGAGAUGGUCUUUCCAUAAACACAGCCUAAGAGCUCAUCAAGUU
rnacentral:lncRNA from 1 species